rnacentral:lncRNA from 1 species
GUGAUUAUUUUAUUCGGUGUGCGCGUCUUGGUGUCGUGGGCGAGCUCUCUCUUCCUCACUGCUCUGCUCUGCUCAGCUCAGCUCAGCUCAAACUCUAGCUCGAGGAAGAAGAGAGAAAAAAAAUCGCAGCUUGCAACGCUAAUCUCCUUGUACUCUCUUUUCUCUUAUUACUUAUAGCUGCAGAUCCGCCUCUCGCAACCCAGCUCUUGUGAUCCUCAAGAGCCGCUCCUCCUCCUCCACGCGCGACCCAAGAAUCAAUCAGUCGCUGCUCGAGAAUUUCCAGUUCAGAGGGAGGGAGAAAGGAGGGAUCUUCUUUGCUCUCCUCCAUUGUUUUCUUCGUCUUCUUUCUUGCGGAUUCUAGGAGCUGUGCUGUGCUUUUUUUGGUGGUGGUGGUGGUGGUGGUGCGAAUGGCGUCGGGGCGGUGGUGCGAAUGUGGCGCGGCGAUCUGUGGAGAUGUCGCUGCGAUCUGUGGCGGAUUAAUUUGACCGAAAGGUGCUCGUCCUUUUCGGAAAGGAGGGGGGGAUUUGUUUGUGUGUUUUUGUUUUUGAUUUUGGUUGGGUUUUUUUUGAUUAGGUUGGUUGCUUUGUGUGAUUCGAUUCCUUGCCGCGCGAAAUCUUGGUGAGAUUUUUUUUUUCUCUCCUCCUGCGGGGGUUUGGAUCCUUUGCCUCCCUCGCCGGACAUUUCCUCCGCGCGCUCUGGUUCUUGGUUGUUGGCGGAUUGGGUUGAAAUCUUCGGGAUCUUGGGGGCGGCGGCGGGCGGGGGAUGGUGUCGAGAUCGUACUCCAACCUGCUGGAGCUCG